rnacentral:rRNA from 1 species
GGAUAACACUUGGAAACAGGUGCUAAUACCGCAUAACCAUAGUUACCGCAUGGUAGCUAUGUAAAAGGUGGCUAUGCUACCGCUUUUGGAUGGGCCCGCGGCGCAUUAGCUAGUUGGUGGGGUAAAGGCUUACCAAGGCAAUGAUGCGUAGCCGAACUGAGAGGUUGAUCGGCCACAUUGGGACUGAGACACGGCCCAAACUCCUACGGGAGGCAGCAGUAGGGAAUCUUCCACAAUGGGCGAAAGCCUGAUGGAGCAACGCCGCGUGGGUGAAGAAGGUCUUCGGAUCGUAAAACCCUGUUGUUAGAGAAGAAAGUGCGUGAAAGUAACUGUUCACGUUUCGACGGUAUCUAACCAGAAAGCCACGGCUAACUACGUGCCAGCAGCCGCGGUAAUACGUAGGUGGCAAGCGUUAUCCGGAUUUAUUGGGCGUAAAGGGAACGCAGGCGGUCUUUUAAGUCUGAUGUGAAAGCCUUCGGCUUAACCGGAGUAGUGCAUUGGAAACUGGGAGACUUGAGUGCAGAAGAGGAGAGUGGAACUCCAUGUGUAGCGGUGAAAUGCGUAGAUAUAUGGAAGAACACCAGUGGCGAAAGCGGCUCUCUGGUCUGUAACUGACGCUGAGGUUCGAAAGCGUGGGUAGCAAACAGGAUUAGAUACCCUGGUAGUCCACGCCGUAAACGAUGAAUGCUAAGUGUUGGAGGGUUUCCGCCCUUCAGU